GGUUAUAGCUCAGUGGUAGAGCAUCUGUUUAGCAUGCGCGAGGACCUGGGUUCAAUCCCCAGUGCCUCCA
rnacentral:tRNA from 1 species